rnacentral:rRNA from 1 species
AGUCGAACGGUAACAUGGAUUGCUUGCAAUCUGAUGACGAGUGGCGCACGGGUGCGUAACGCGUAUGCAAUCUACCUUUUACAGGAGAAUAGCCCAGAGAAAUUUGGAAUAAUGCUCCAUAAUAUCAUUUAUCAGCAUUGGUUUAUGAUUAAAGCUCCGGCGGUAAAAGAUGAGCAUGCGUUCUAUUAGCUAGUAGGUGAGGUAACGGCUCACCUAGGCUACGAUAGAUAGGGGCCCUGAGAGGGGGAUCCCCCACACUGGUACUGAGACACGGACCAGACUCCUACGGGAGGCAGCAGUGAGGAAUAUUGGACAAUGGAGGAAACUCUGAUCCAGCCAUGCCGCGUGCAGGAUGACUGCCCUAUGGGUUGUAAACUGCUUUUAUAUAGGAAGAAACACUCCCACGUGUGGGGGCUUGACGGUACUAUAUGAAUAAGGAUCGGCUAACUCCGUGCCAGCAGCCGCGGUAAUACGGAGGAUCCAAGCGUUAUCCGGAAUCAUUGGGUUUAAAGGGUCCGCAGGCGGCCCGUUAAGUCAGAGGUGAAAUCCUACAGCUCAACUGUAGAACUGCCUUUGAUACUGAUAGGCUUGAGUUAUUGUGAAGUGGUUAGAAUGUGUGGUGUAGCGGUGAAAUGCUUAGAUAUCACACAGAAUACCCAUUGCGAAGGCAGAUCACUAACAAUAUACUGACGCUCAUGGACGAAAGCGUGGGGAGCGAACGGGAUUAGAUACCCCGGUAGUCCACGCCGUAAACGAUGGAUACUAACUGUUCGACCUUCGGGUUGAGUG